GACGAACCGUGCGAACGUUAUUCGGAAUCACUGGGCUUAAAGCGCGUGUAGGCGGGCCGGCACGUCGGUCGCUGAAAUCCCCCGGCUCAACCGGGGAAGGGGCGCCGAUACGACCGGCCUGGAGGGGCGUAGGGGGACCUGGAAUUUCCGGUGGAGCGGUGAAAUGCGUUGAGAUCGGAAGGAACGCCCGUGGCGAAAGCGAGGUCCUGGACGCCAUCUGACGCUGAGACGCGAAAGCCAGGGGAGCGAACGGG
rnacentral:rRNA from 1 species